CAGCUACUAGAUGCAUACUUGCAAAAACAGAAUAUUCAAGGAUAUAAUCUUUCAAUGUAGGGUAAUAACUGCUUGAUCCAAGGAUAAAUCUGACUGCCAUUCUGGGGUCAAGAAGGAAUUUUUUUCCUAGCUUGUUGCAAAAUUGGAAGUGCUUCAAACUGGUUUUUUUGCCUUCUUUUGGAUCAACAGCAAAAAACAAAUGUGAGGAAAGCUGAACUUGAUGGACGCAAGUCUCUUUUCAGCUAUGUAACUAU
rnacentral:lncRNA from 1 species